GACGAACGCUGGCGGCGUGCUUAACACAUGCAAGUCGAACGGAGUGGCGAACGGGUGUGUAAUACGUGGGUGACCUGCCCUCCUUUUUGGGAUAAACCUUUGAAACGGGGUCUAAUUCCGAAUAUCGGGGGUGGGGCUCGGGGCUUAUCAGCUUGUUGGUGGGGUGCUGGGCUACCGAGGCGGUGACGGGUUGCCGGCCUGGGAGGGUGACCGGUCACUUUGGUACUGAGAUACGGCCCAGAGGCCGCCGCGGGGGAGCAGGGGGGGAGAUGGGAGAAGGGGUGAUAGAGUGAUGCAGCGACGCCGCGGGGGGGAUGAGGGCUGUCGGGUGGUUAAACGGGUUCGCAAUCGAAUGGGUAGGUGGAGAAGAAGCGCCGGCUAACUACGUGCCAGCAGCCGCGGUAAUAC
rnacentral:rRNA from 1 species